ACUUGCAACUUGUAUCAUGAUACUUGCUGGACACAACCCCAUAUGCUUUAUUACCCCCAGCAGUCUCUCCAAUAGGAAUUUCCAGCAAAGGGCAUACUAAAAGCACAAGGACACUAUAAGAAGCCAAAUACACACCAAAACUGUGCUCUUGGACUCCUGCAGCUUCCAGAAUAGUGAGCCAAAACAGAAAACCAAACCCAGUUGAAGUCUGAAUUCAAGAAACUGUGAAUUGAGUGCUACAGAGCUGGCUGAAGCAAAAGUUAAAAUAUACUACCAGUCUGUGUCUGGUCAGCCCUCGUGUGGACUAGUAAGAGCCAGACACUCGGUUGCUCAGCACUCUUAAGCCAAUAUUAGGUUGUGGGCUCCAAGUAACUGACCGUGUUACUGCAUGCAAAGUGUAUAAGGUCUAUAAGCUUCACCUAUCUUCCCUGCUUAGCAGUCACAAACAUUUGCUGCUUUCAUAGGAGACAGUCCUUCCCACCCACCACCCAAGCAGAGAAAUGCUGUUCUUUCAAUAUUCUGAGCACUCAGCCACUACAGAGUCAGCCCCGCACAGUAACUGUUAAAGUGCUUAUUCUGUCCACCUUAGACUCUCAUGUAUUAAAUUCUGUUUCUUUA